rnacentral:rRNA from 1 species
GUUGUAUGGUUAAGUAAUUAAGCGUAGACGGUGGAUGCCUUGGCAGUCAGAGGCGAUGAAGGACGUACUAACCUGCGAAAAGCGAUGGUGAGCUGGUAAGAAGCAUUUGAGCCAUCGAUGUCCGAAUGGGGAAACCCACCUGCAUAAGCAGGUAUCUUAGCGUGAAUACAUAGCGCUAAGAGGCGAACUCGGGGAACUGAAACAUCUAAGUACCCGAAGGAAAAGAAAUCAAUUGAGAUUCCGGCAGUAGCGGCGAGCGACCCCGGAGCAGCCCUUAAGCGGCUUAGGCGUUAGGUGAACAGGUUGGAAAACCUGGCAAUAAAGGGUGAUAGCCCCGUAACCGACGGCGCCUUAGGCGUGAAAACGAGUAAGACGGGACACGUGAUAUCUUGUCUGAACAUGGGGGGACCAUCCUCCAAGGCUAAAUACUCCUGACUGACCGAUAGUGAACCAGUACCGUGAGGGAAAGGCGAAAAGAACCCCUGUGAGGGGAGUGAAAUAGAACCUGAAACCGUCUACGUACAAGCAGUGGGAGCCCCAUCACUAAGACACUUCAUCUUAGUGAGACGCUAUCACUUUGUUGAUUGGGUUAACCACGCGCAGCGUGGGUCAACCGCCCAAUCCAGCAGAGGUGACUUAGUGAUGGGGUGACCGCGUACCUUUUGUAUAAUGGGUCAGCGACUUAAUGUAAGUAGCCAGGUUAACCGCAUAGGGGAGCCGUAGGGAAACCGAGUCUUAACUGGGCGACAGUUGCUUGCAUUAGACCCGAAACCGAGUGAUCUAGCCAUGGGCAGGUUGAAGGUUGAGUAACAUCAACUGGAGGACCGAACUCACUAACGUUGAAAAGUUAGGAGAUGACCUGUGGCUAGGGGUGAAAGGCCAAUCAAACUCGGAGAUAGCUGGUUCUCCCCGAAAGCUAUUUAGGUAGCGCCUCGGACGAACACUACUGGGGGUAGAGCACUGUUAAGGCUAGGGGGUCAUCCCGACUUACCAACCCUUUGCAAACUCCGAAUACCAGUAAGUGCUAUCCGGGAGACACACGGCGGGUGCUAACGUCCGUCGUGGAGAGGGAAACAACCCAGACCGCCAGCUAAGGUCCCCAAGUUAUCGCUAAGUGGGAAACGAUGUGGGAAGGCUCAGACAGCCAGGAUGUUGGCUUAGAAGCAGCCAUCAUUUAAAGAAAGCGUAAUAGCUCACUGGUCGAGUCGGCCUGCGCGGAAGAUGUAACGGGGCUAAGCGAUACACCGAAGCUGCGGCAAUGUCCUUAUGGAUAUUGGGUAGGGGAGCGUUGUGUAAGCUGUUGAAGGUGUGCUGAGAGGCAUGCUGGAGGUAUCACAAGUGCGAAUGCUGACAUGAGUAACGAUAAAGGGGGUGAAAAACCUCCUCGCCGGAAGACCAAGGGUUCCUGUCCAACGUUAAUCGGGGCAGGGUAAGUCGGCCCCUAAGGCGAGGCCGAAAGGCGUAGUCGAUGGGAAACGGGUUAAUAUUCCCGUACUGCUGCUUACUGCGAUGGGGGGACGGAGAAGGCUAGGUGGGCCUGGCGAUGGUUGUCCAGGUUCAAGUGCGUAGGCUGAUUUCUUAGGCAAAUCCGGGAAAUCAAGGCCGAGACACGAUGUCGAGCCACCAAGGUGGUGAAGUCAUUGAUGCCAUGCUUCCGGGAAAAGCCUCUAAGCUUCAGGUAAGUAGGAACCGUACUCCAAACCGACACAGGUGGUCGGGUAGAGAAUACCAAGGCGCUUGAGAGAACUCGGGUGAAGGAACUAGGCAAAAUGGUACCGUAACUUCGGGAGAAGGUACGCUGCCCGCGGUGAAGUCCCUAGCGGAUGGAGCUAUGGGCAGUCGCAGAUACCAGGUGGCUGCAACUGUUUAUUAAAAACACAGCACUGUGCAAAAUCGAAAGAUGACGUAUACGGUGUGACGCCUGCCCGGUGCCGGAAGGUUAAUUGAUGUGGUUAUCGCAAGAGAAGCCAUUGAUUGAAGCCCCGGUAAACGGCGGCCGUAACUAUAACGGUCCUAAGGUAGCGAAAUUCCUUGUCGGGUAAGUUCCGACCUGCACGAAUGGCGUAAUGAUGGCCACGCUGUCUCCACCCGAGACUCAGUGAAAUUGAAAUCGCAGUGAAGAUGCUGUGUACCCGCGGCUAGACGGAAAGACCCCGUGAACCUUUACUACAGCUUGGCACUGAACAUUGAGCCUACAUGUGUAGGAUAGGUGGGAGGCUUUGAAGCGGCGACGCCAGUUGCUGUGGAGCCAUCCUUGAAAUACCACCCUUGUAUGUUUGAUGUUCUAACUUAGCCCCAUUAUCUGGGGUGAGGACAGUGCCUGGUGGGUAGUUUGACUGGGGCGGUCUCCUCCCAAAGAGUAACGGAGGAGCACGAAGGUGGGCUAAUCACGGUCGGACAUCGUGAGGUUAGUGCAAUGGCAUAAGCCCGCUUAACUGCGAGAGUGACGGCUCGAGCAGGUACGAAAGUAGGUCAUAGUGAUCCGGUGGUUCUGAAUGGAAGGGCCAUCGCUCAACGGAUAAAAGGUACUCCGGGGAUAACAGGCUGAUACCGCCCAAGAGUUCAUAUCGACGGCGGUGUUUGGCACCUCGAUGUCGGCUCAUCACAUCCUGGGGCUGAAGUCGGUCCCAAGGGUAUGGCUGUUCGCCAUUUAAAGUGGUACGCGAGCUGGGUUUAGAACGUCGUGAGACAGUUCGGUCCCUAUCUGCCGUGGGCGUUGGAUGAUUGAGGGGAGCUGCUCCUAGUACGAGAGGACCGGAGUGGACGAACCGCUGGUGUUCGGGUUGUGUCGCCAGACGCAUUGCCCGGUAGCUAAGUUCGGCACAGAUAAGCGCUGAAAGCAUCUAAGCGCGAAGCUGGCCCCGAGAUGAGUCAUCCCUAGAGCCUCGAGCUCUCUAAAGGGUUGUUCUAGACGAGAACGUUGAUAGGCAGGGUGUGUAAGCGCUGUGAGGCGUUGAGCUAACCUGUACUAAUGGCCCGUGCGGCUUAACCAUACAACACCCAAGGGGUUU